rnacentral:misc_RNA from 1 species
GAUGAAGAACGUAGCGAAAUGCGAUAAGUAGUGUGAAUUGCAGAAUUCAGUGAAUCAUCGAAUCUUUGAACGCACAUUGCGCCCUUUGGUAUUCCAAAGGGCAUGCCUGUUCGAGCGUCAUUUGUACCCUCAAGCUUUGCUUGGUGUUGAGCGUCUUGUCUCUAGCUUUGCUGGAGACUCGCCUUAAAGUAAUUGGCAGCCGGCCUACUGGUUUCGGAGCGCAGCACAAGUCGCACUCUCUAUCAGCAAAGGUCUAGCAUCCAUUAAGCCUUUUUUUCAACUUUUGACCUCGGAUCAGGUAGGGAUACCCGCUGAACUUAAGCAUAUCAAUAAGCGGAGGA